UGUUGUUUGAAAGAGAGGGCAGUUUUUCAUAAACACAAAUACAGGAUAUUUCCCUUUAAGAAAACUCAUGGAAUACAGCAUAUGUGAAAGCCUCAAUGCCUUGUCUUGUGAGAAUGCAAACCAAAGCCAGUCACACGGAUGUACAUGUUGGGGAAAAAUCACAGCGAAAUCAGAAACAGCUGUCUCCAUAAUUGCUUGUGUUACAUGGAGGAAAUUGAAAUGUAUGUAUAUUUUAAAAUGAGAAGAGUUGUUUUCACAACUCUAAUCUAAAGUUGUUUGGUGGUUCACAGGAUCGUUUUGAAAACUGAAUGGGAACCGGGGCAUCUCUUUGUCUGCAACCUUAUCAGCUGUCUCCUCUGUAAGCUCCUCAAUUAGUGAGCUACUGCAGAGAAGUGAGAAAAGGACCAUCCGUGGAAUGGCAUUCCUGAUAAAGAGCAGCAUUUUGUUGGUCUCCUCCACUUCCAGCGAUUGAUGAAACUUAUCUUGAAUUUGCUUCAGUCCACUUUAAAGCUUGUGGUGGUGACUGCUGAAAUACUUUGUAAUCCCUACCUGCUUAUUCUUAGAUUAUGAUGGAAAAUGUGCUGACCAGCCUUUGCUUUCGUUUUGUCAACUACAACCAAAAGGAGAUACUGGAAUACUUGUUCAAGCUGUUCUAAGGCCUCCUUGAACUGUAGAUGAGAAGUGUGUGACUAGUCUCAUUCACACCAGCUGAGGACUGAGAGCUCCCCAGGAAUUUUUCUUAAAAUAAACCAAAAGCCAACAACACUGUCUUCAAUGGAGAGAUGCGUUGUAGAGAAAACGGAUAUUCAGUGAUAGAAAAUGAAUCAGAAGAACGAACUUCAGAAAGGGUGGGAAGGACGGGAGAGAAAAAUGAAGUGAACUUUAAGGUGAGCUUAAUGCUACCCGUCUGUUACAUUCAUUUGUAUGCUGGAGCAGUGCUGACAAGCCUCCUGUUGUUCCGUGUAGCGUUUGUGUCAGCCAACCAGCUGGGAAGCCUUCCACUUCAGAGAGGUGCUAAGAGAAGGAAGGUGAAGUUAAGAGAAGAAAAAAAUGGAGGAAUUUCAUGAACAUACUUAUCAUCUUUCCUUUACACAGAAACUGUUGGGCCAUUUAUUAUGACUGCGCUGUCCACACAAGCUGAGGUGACAAAAUGUACUCUCCCAGCUUACAGGAUUUUGUACCUCAUUGGGAUGAGGCUGGUAAUGCCGCAGAAGUGAAAAACCCUGGUCAUACAGACCUCUCCCUUCUUCCUUGCUCUUGCUCAUUAGCUCAAUAAAGCACAGAAUGUUUCAACA
rnacentral:lncRNA from 1 species